ACUCGUUGUUGGGAGUAUGAUAAGAUUUUAAGAAUUGUUUUAAAGAUAAGUUUACAAAAUAUAUUGGGGCUCUUUGAUGGUGGUAUCCCCAAGAACUAAAAAUGCUUCAAGAGGAGUCUGAUAUAGAUGAAUAAUUUGUUUGGUGAACCUGAAAUCUUAAAGAUGCUUUUCUCGGUUUGCAUAUCAAUGGAAGGCGACAAUGAGCUGCUUUCGGCAAUCAAGGUUAACCUAUUGACGGAGCGGAAGUACCGUCUAAUA
rnacentral:lncRNA from 1 species